CUGCGCGGUCACGUGUCUGGGGAACGACGAUCCUUGCUAGCGGACAGCAGACGCUGUGUGAUGUGUAAAAUUAAAGGUGUCACCACUUUCUCCAUGAUCACAGAGAGUCUUUGUACAAUGAAGAAGUUCUUUGAAAGCAGGACUGAGGCCUCCAGGAGAUGAGAAGACCACACACCAACAGAUUCACCACCAACAACCAGUCUGGACUCACAAAAUCUUCUAUGGUCAAACGCAACUUUAGAGUAAACAAACAUGGCGGAAGACGAUGUCUCUUGUCUCUUGUGCCUCUGUCUUCAGUCAGCUGGCUUCCUGAUUGGCCAAUGCCCCGUUCCACGUGACAAUUGUAUGAUUCAAACUCCAACCAUUAAAUCACAGAGGAGAGACAGACGUGAAGACAUUUCCAGAAGGGUCUUCAGCUGCUGCCUUCUUCUCCUCCUGCAGAGACAAGAACACCUGUUAAUCACAGACACUGGUCAAUCUAUUUUUCUUUUCCUUACUGUCCUUAUUCAUUUUUGAUACCUAAUUACAAUGACUAAAACUAAACUUUUUACAAUUCAGUCAGUAUCACAUAUUUUACUGUAUUUUCUAAUUAGAGUCACAGUGAUGACUAGAAAUUGUUCUGAAACUCCUUACUAUGCUAUGGCAUUUUUUGACAGUUUUUGACAC